rnacentral:rRNA from 1 species
ACGGAGGGCGGCUAGAGCAGAGGACCAGCAUCAGAGGAACUGACCAGCAUGCCGCGUGAGUGAAGAAGGUCUUCGGGUUGUAAGCUCUUUUGUCCGGGAAAAAGACUUGGCUCUUGUAAAGUCCGGGGAUGACCGUACCAAAAAAUAAGCCCCGGCUAACUCCGUGCCCCCCGCCGCGGUAAUACGUAGGGUGCGAACGUUGAUCGGAAUUACUGGGCGGAAAGCGUGCCCAAGCGGUUUGCUAAAACCGAUGUGAAAUCCCCGGGCUCAACCUGGGAACUGCAUUGGAGACUGGCUAGGCUAGAGUAUGGCAGAGGGGGGUAGAAUUCCACGUGUAGCAGUGAAAUGCGUAAAGAUGUGGAGGAAUACCGAUGGCGAAGCAGCCCCCUGGGCCUAUACUGACGCUCAUGCACGAAAGCGUGG